UCAGAUUGAACGCUGGCGGCAGGCCUAACACAUGCAAGUCGAGCGGUAGCACAGAGAGCUUGCUCUCGGGUGACGAGCGGCGGACGGGUGAGUAAUGUCUGGGAAACUGCCUGAUGGAGGGGGAUAACUACUGGAAACGGUAGCUAAUACCGCAUAAUGUCGCAAGACCAAAGUGGGGGACCUUCGGGCCUCAUGCCAUCAGAUGUGCCCAGAUGGGAUUAGCUAGUAGGUGGGGUAACGGCUCACCUAGGCGACGAUCCCUAGCUGGUCUGAGAGGAUGACCAGCCACACUGGAACUGAGACACGGUCCAGACUCCUACGGGAGGCAGCAGUGGGGAAUAUUGCACAAUGGGCGCAAGCCUGAUGCAGCCAUGCCGCGUGUGUGAAGAAGGCCUUCGGGUUGUAAAGCACUUUCAGCGGGGAGGAAGGCGGUGAGGUUAAUAACCUCACCGAUUGACGUUACCCGCAGAAGAAGCACCGGCUAACUCCGUGCCAGCAGCCGCGGUAAUACGGAGGGUGCAAGCGUUAAUCGGAAUUACUGGGCGUAAAGCGCACGCAGGCGGUCUGUCAAGUCGGAUGUGAAAUUCCCCGGGCUCAACCUGGGAACUGCAUUCGAAACUGGCAGGCUAGAGUCUUGUAGAGGGGGGUAGAAUUCCAGGUGUAGCGGUGAAAUGCGUAGAGAUCUGGAGGAAUACCGGUGGCGAAGGCGGCCCCCUGGACAAAGACUGACGCUCAGGUGCGAAAGCGUGGGGAGCAAACAGGAUUAGAUACCCUGGUAGUCCACGCCGUAAACGAUGUCGAUUUGGAGGUUGUGCCCUUGAGGCGUGGCUUCCGGAGCUAACGCGUUAAAUCGACCGCCUGGGGAGUACGGCCGCAAGGUUAAAACUCAAAUGAAUUGACGGGGGCCCGCACAAGCGGUGGAGCAUGUGGUUUAAUUCGAUGCAACGCGAAGAACCUUACCUGGUCUUGACAUCCACAGAACUUUCCAGAGAUGGAUUGGUGCCUUCGGGAACUGUGAGACAGGUGCUGCAUGGCUGUCGUCAGCUCGUGUUGUGAAAUGUUGGGUUAAGUCCCGCAACGAGCGCAACCCUUAUCCUUUGUUGCCAGCGGUUAGGCCGGGAACUCAAAGGAGACUGCCAGUGAUAAACUGGAGGAAGGUGGGGAUGACGUCAAGUCAUCAUGGCCCUUACGACCAGGGCUACACACGUGCUACAAUGGCAUAUACAAAGAGAAGCGACCUCGCGAGAGCAAGCGGACCUCAUAAAGUAUGUCGUAGUCCGGAUUGGAGUCUGCAACUCGACUCCAUGAAGUCGGAAUCGCUAGUAAUCGUAGAUCAGAAUGCUACGGUGAAUACGUUCCCGGGCCUUGUACACACCCGCCACGUGCACACCAUGGGAGUGGGUUGCAAAAGAAGUAGGUAUGUUAA
rnacentral:rRNA from 1 species